rnacentral:tRNA from 1 species
UUCUUUUAAGUUCUAUGAAUAACUGCCUUCCAAGCAGUAGGACCUGAAAUAUCAGGAAAAGAAA